rnacentral:rRNA from 1 species
CAGUCGCCACGGUAAUACGAAGGGGGCUAGCGUUGCUCGGAAUCACUGGGCGUAAAGCGCGCGCAGGCGGAUCAGUUAGUCUGUCUUAAAAGUUCGGGGCUCAACCCCGUGAUGGGAAAGAAACUACAUGUCUUGAGUACAGGAGAGGAAAGCGGAAUUCCCAGUGUAGCGGUGAAAUGCGUAGAUAUUGGGAGGAACACCAGUGGCGAAGGCGGCUUUCUGGACUGCAACUGACGCUGAGGCUCGAAAGCCAGGGGAGCGAACGGGAUUAGAUACCCCAGUAGUCCCUGUCUCUUAUACA